rnacentral:tRNA from 1 species
GCCGGGAUGGCGGAAUUGGUAGACGCGCUGGCUUCAAACCCCAGUGGCUUCGCCGUGAGGGUUCGAGUCCCUCUCCCGGCACCA